rnacentral:tRNA from 3 species
GGGGGUUUAGCUCAGUUGGUAGAGCAUCUGAUUUGCAUUCAGAGGGUCAGGAGUUCGAGUCUCCUAGCCUCCA